rnacentral:lncRNA from 1 species
AGCCCCCCCAUACAAGCCCCCUGGAAAGCGCCCCAUGCUCACAUAGCUAGCUCUGGCGAGUCAUCAAGAUGGUGCACGCAGCAACUGCAGAGUGUUGCGGUGAGUUGACCUCGCACCCGCAUGACAGGGACAGGAAUGCACGCCGUGCUCACCAUCUUGCACACAACGCAAAAUCAAACAGAAUCCCAUGCCGCGACGUACGACUCGCCGUUUGGAUACAUACGGAAUUCCGCACCUAUACCAUACACAUCGUACAGAACCUCACAAUACCGUGCAUAUGGCGCCCUCGCCUUUUGGGCCACAGCGAAUACAGUGCUUCCGGCCACCGUCAUGUUCAAAGGCACCGAAAGACCUGGUAUUUUUGAUACGCGGCGAUUGAAAUCGUACCAUACCGAGUCGUCGGGCUGUGCCGAGAAGCCUGCCAAUGUCACAUCAAAUCCAGAUGCUUCCAGAGCACUAACUACUUCACCAGAUGUGUACUCGCGCGAAUGUGCGAGACCCAGCGAAUGACGGCGUCGGAAAAGAAACUGCAAUAUAUACACACAAUCAGACAGGUGAUGCCGCACACACCUUCAAUACACUACCUUGUGGUAUGAAUGCGGCGAAUUCCCAUGCAGCAUUUGAGCAAUGCCUCUCAGGCUACCUAAAUUUGGCGUUGAUAAAAAUAAUAUGCCGCCAGGUCGAAGAACACGAUGAAUUUCUAAGAUACCAAACAUUGGAUCAAGGCUUAAAUGUUCAAAAACAUGGAACAUAAUAACAUAGUCAAUGGAGGCGGACGGUAAUGGUAUCGGUUCUUGUUCCACGUCAUGCUUAAAUAGUGGAUAUUCGAAUGUGUGAUUGCGAAUUCGGAGUGAAAACCACCCUGAACAUGGCGCGUGAAGUUAAGCUUUACUCCUUCUUUGGUGGACAUACCAUUUGCGAGGUUGGGAAUAACUUUAUGGCGACCGGACGGCGCAUCCCAUGUGGUGACUUGUAUCCAGCUCGGAUCGAGAAGCAAAGAAAUUAUAGAAGGUAAAAUUCCAUUACCAUGCUCACCAAUGAAAAGAAACCGUGAUCGCUGCUGUGCAUAUUGCAUAAUUCGUUCCAUGCUUAGGGCAAUCCGAUUUACGCUAGCAUGAUUGUACGGGUCAUUUGUUGCAUGUGCAACUUCUCUUACAACCUCGUGUAUUUUUUGUACAUCUAUUGGCCAAAGCCGGGAAUCAGGGCCUUGGGCCCCAUCAUAUGUACUAUAUGACGAUGCAUGCCGUGGGCUGUAUGCGAUACACAAUACUGUAAAUACAAGCCGUAAAGGUGAAUACAUCUGGGACGGGCAAUGAAUGAGGAUUUGGUGGACGAUUGUUGAACGAAGGAGGUAAGCAAACUAGCGGAUUGCCAUGCGAUCCAUGGGGCGUGCCCCAAAGAGAGUCCAGUGACAUGGGACGCAACCUGACGCAACGUACGGUGUUAUAGUGCUGAGCAUGAGAGCAGGCGUAUGCAAGUAGUGACCCUUUGUGGCGUAGAGGUGAGGCGAAAGGAGGCUGGUAUAGGAUUGGCGACUGAAGUCUUAGUAUGAUCUGGAGUGCCAGAGUUGUAACAUACGUACGUUGAGCGAAAGGUACUGCGGAUGCUGGCGUGCGCACAACCUUCCGGACCGGUGACUGGGGCGGGGUCGGGG